rnacentral:rRNA from 1 species
UGCAAGUCGAGCGAAGCGCUGUUUUCAGAAUCUUCGGAGGAAGAGGACAGUGACUGAGCGGCGGACGGGUGAGUAACGCGUGGGCAACCUGCCUCAUACAGGGGGAUAACAGUUAGAAAUGACUGCUAAUACCGCAUAAGCGCACAGGACCGCAUGGUGUAGUGUGAAAAACUCCGGUGGUAUGAGAUGGACCCGCGUCUGAUUAGGUAGUUGGUGGGGUAAAGGCCUACCAAGCCGACGAUCAGUAGCCGACCUGAGAGGGUGACCGGCCACAUUGGGACUGAGACACGGCCCAAACUCCUACGGGAGGCAGCAGUGGGGAAUAUUGCACAAUGGGGGAAACCCUGAUGCAGCGACGCCGCGUGAAGGAAGAAGUAUUUCGGUAUGUAAACUUCUAUCAGCAGGGAAGAAGAUGACGGUACCUGAGUAAGAAGCACCGGCUAAAUACGUGCCAGCAGCCGCGGUAAUACGUAUGGUGCAAGCGUUAUCCGGAUUUACUGGGUGUAAAGGGAGCGUAGACGGAUAGGCAAGUCUGGAGUGAAAACCCAGGGCUCAACUCUGGGACUGCUUUGGAAACUGCAGAUCUGGAGUGCCGGAGAGGUAAGCGGAAUUCCUAGUGUA